UACGAGGGGGGCGAGCGUUGUUCGGAGUUACUGGGCGUAAAGGGUGUGUAGGCGGUUGUUUAAGUUUGGUGUGAAAUCUCCCGGCUCAACUGGGAGGGUGCGCCGAAUACUGAAUGACUUGGAGUGCGGGAGAGGAGAGUGGAAUUCCUGGUGUAGCGGUGAAAUGCGUAGAUAUCAGGAGGAACACCGGUGGUGUAGACGGCUCUCUGGACCGUAACUGACGCUGAGACACGAAAGCG
rnacentral:rRNA from 1 species